rnacentral:rRNA from 1 species
AACGGCCGCGGUAUCCUAACCGUGCAAAGGUAGCAUAAUCACUUGCCUAUUAAUUGUAGGCUAGAAUGAAUGGGUUAACGAAAUAAAGACUGUCUCAAUUAAUUACCUAAAAAUUAUUCUCUACCCGAAGAAAGGUAGAUAACCUCGAAGGACAAGAAGACCCUAUAGAGCUUAAUUUCAAUUACAGAACUAAACUAUAAAAAUAUUCGGUUGGGGCGACCCAGGGCUAAACAAUCACCCAUUAAAUAGAAGAUAAAUAAAUCUAAUAAAUGACCCUCUAAAGAUCACAAGAACAAGCUACCUUAGGGAUAACAGGCUAAUCCCACUUAAGAGUCCUUAUCAACAGUGGGGGUUGGCACCUCGAUGUUGGCUUAGG